rnacentral:rRNA from 1 species
GGGUCAGUAGGUUGGUCGUGCCACCGGUACGUACUGGUCUCACUGAUUCCUCCUUCCUGAAGAACCGUAAUGCCAUUAAUUUGGUGUUGCGGGGAAACAGGACUGUUACUUUGAAAAAUUAGAGUGUUUAAAGCAAGCUAACGCUUGAAUACAUUAGCAUGGAAUAAUGAAAUAGGACGAUCGAUCCUAUUUUGUUGGUUUCUGGGAUUGACGUA